rnacentral:tRNA from 1 species
GAAAGUCUAGCUUAAUGGUAGAGCACCUGCCUCCAGAGCAGGGUGGUAUAGGUUCGAAUCCUAUGGCUUUCAC